GGGUUGUGAGGUUAAGCGACUAAGCGUACACGGUGGAUGCCCUGGCAGUCAGAGGCGAUGAAGGACGUGCUAAUCUGCGAUAAGCGUCGGUAAGGUGAUAUGAACCGUUAUAACCGGCGAUUUCCGAAUGGGGAAACCCAGUGUGAUUCGUCACACUAUCAUUAACUGAAUCCAUAGGUUAAUGAGGCGAACCGGGGGAACUGAAACAUCUAAGUACCCCGAGGAAAAGAAAUCAACCGAGAUUCCCCCAGUAGCGGCGAGCGAACGGGGAGCAGCCCAGAGCCUGAAUCAGUGUGUGUGUUAGUGGAAGCGUCUGGAAAGGCGCGCGAUACAGGGUGACAGCCCCGUACACAAAAAUGCACAUGCUGUGAGCUCGAUGAGUAGGGCGGGACACGUGGUAUCCUGUCUGAAUAUGGGGGGACCAUCCUCCAAGGCUAAAUACUCCUGACUGACCGAUAGUGAACCAGUACCGUGAGGGAAAGGCGAAAAGAACCCCGGCGAGGGGAGUGAAAAAGAACCUGAAACCGUGUACGUACAAGCAGUGGGAGCACGCUUAGGCGUGUGACUGCGUACCUUUUGUAUAAUGGGUCAGCGACUUAUAUUCUGUAGCAAGGUUAACCGAAUAGGGGAGCCGAAGGGAAACCGAGUCUUAACUGGGCGUUAAGUUGCAGGGUAUAGACCCGAAACCCGGUGAUCUAGCCAUGGGCAGGUUGAAGGUUGGGUAACACUAACUGGAGGACCGAACCGACUAAUGUUGAAAAAUUAGCGGAUGACUUGUGGCUGGGGGUGAAAGGCCAAUCAAACCGGGAGAUAGCUGGUUCUCCCCGAAAGCUAUUUAGGUAGCGCCUCGUGAAUUCAUCUCCGGGGGUAGAGCACUGUUUCGGCAAGGGGUCAUCCCGACUUACCAACCCGAUGCAAACUGCGAAUACCGGAGAAUGUUAUCACGGGAGACACACGGCGGGUGCUAACGUCCGUCGUGAAGAGGGAAACAACCCAGACCGCCAGCUAAGGUCCCAAAGUCAUGGUUAAGUGGGAAACGAUGUGGGAAGGCCCAGACAGCCAGGAUGUUGGCUUAGAAGCAGCCAUCAUUUAAAGAAAGCGUAAUAGCUCACUGGUCGAGUCGGCCUGCGCGGAAGAUGUAACGGGGCUAAACCAUGCACCGAAGCUGCGGCAGCGACACUAUGUGUUGUUGGGUAGGGGAGCGUUCUGUAAGCCUGCGAAGGUGUGCUGUGAGGCAUGCUGGAGGUAUCAGAAGUGCGAAUGCUGACAUAAGUAACGAUAAAGCGGGUGAAAAGCCCGCUCGCCGGAAGACCAAGGGUUCCUGUCCAACGUUAAUCGGGGCAGGGUGAGUCGACCCCUAAGGCGAGGCCGAAAGGCGUAGUCGAUGGGAAACAGGUUAAUAUUCCUGUACUUGGUGUUACUGCGAAGGGGGGACGGAGAAGGCUAUGUUGGCCGGGCGACGGUUGUCCCGGUUUAAGCGUGUAGGCUGGUUUUCCAGGCAAAUCCGGAAAAUCAAGGCUGAGGCGUGAUGACGAGGCACUACGGUGCUGAAGCAACAAAUGCCCUGCUUCCAGGAAAAGCCUCUAAGCAUCAGGUAACAUCAAAUCGUACCCCAAACCGACACAGGUGGUCAGGUAGAGAAUACCAAGGCGCUUGAGAGAACUCGGGUGAAGGAACUAGGCAAAAUGGUGCCGUAACUUCGGGAGAAGGCACGCUGAUAUGUAGGUGAAGCGACUUGCUCGUGGAGCUGAAAUCAGUCGAAGAUACCAGCUGGCUGCAACUGUUUAUUAAAAACACAGCACUGUGCAAACACGAAAGUGGACGUAUACGGUGUGACGCCUGCCCGGUGCCGGAAGGUUAAUUGAUGGGGUUAGCGCAAGCGAAGCUCUUGAUCGAAGCCCCGGUAAACGGCGGCCGUAACUAUAACGGUCCUAAGGUAGCGAAAUUCCUUGUCGGGUAAGUUCCGACCUGCACGAAUGGCGUAAUGAUGGCCAGGCUGUCUCCACCCGAGACUCAGUGAAAUUGAACUCGCUGUGAAGAUGCAGUGUACCCGCGGCAAGACGGAAAGACCCCGUGAACCUUUACUAUAGCUUGACACUGAACAUUGAGCCUUGAUGUGUAGGAUAGGUGGGAGGCUUUGAAGUGUGGACGCCAGUCUGCAUGGAGCCGACCUUGAAAUACCACCCUUUAAUGUUUGAUGUUCUAACGUUGACCCGUAAUCCGGGUUGCGGACAGUGUCUGGUGGGUAGUUUGACUGGGGCGGUCUCCUCCUAAAGAGUAACGGAGGAGCACGAAGGUUGGCUAAUCCUGGUCGGACAUCAGGAGGUUAGUGCAAUGGCAUAAGCCAGCUUGACUGCGAGCGUGACGGCGCGAGCAGGUGCGAAAGCAGGUCAUAGUGAUCCGGUGGUUCUGAAUGGAAGGGCCAUCGCUCAACGGAUAAAAGGUACUCCGGGGAUAACAGGCUGAUACCGCCCAAGAGUUCAUAUCGACGGCGGUGUUUGGCACCUCGAUGUCGGCUCAUCACAUCCUGGGGCUGAAGUAGGUCCCAAGGGUAUGGCUGUUCGCCAUUUAAAGUGGUACGCGAGCUGGGUUUAGAACGUCGUGAGACAGUUCGGUCCCUAUCUGCCGUGGGCGCUGGAGAACUGAGGGGGGCUGCUCCUAGUACGAGAGGACCGGAGUGGACGCAUCACUGGUGUUCGGGUUGUCAUGCCAAUGGCACUGCCCGGUAGCUAAAUGCGGAAGAGAUAAGUGCUGAAAGCAUCUAAGCACGAAACUUGCCCCGAGAUGAGUUCUCCCUGACUCCUUGAGAGUCCUGAAGGAACGUUGAAGACGACGACGUUGAUAGGCCGGGUGUGUAAGCGCAGCGAUGCGUUGAGCUAACCGGUACUAAUGAACCGUGAGGCUUAACCUUACAACGCCGAAGGUGUUU
rnacentral:rRNA from 1 species